UCCUGUAGCCAAUCAGAAAUGAGCUUAUUUAUAAAAGUACAGUAUAAUCCAGUAAACCUGUAAUUUUAUGUAUAAGUUAGUCUCUGAUUGAAAAAUGCAGCAGACGUCAUC
rnacentral:pre_miRNA from 1 species